GAACGCUGGCGGCGUGCUUAAGACAUGCAAGUCGAACGGUAAGGCUUUUCACUCUUCGGAGUGACUCGCACACGAGUGGCGCACGGGGGAGUAACGCGUGGGUAAUCUGCCUUCGGGUUUGGGACAACUCCGGGAAACUGGAGCUAAUACCGAAUAAGACCACGAGGUCCUCGGACCUUGCGGAAAAAGGGGGCCUCUUUUUGAAAGCUAUCGCCUGUUGAUGAGCCCGCGUCCCAUUAGCUUUUUGGGGAGGUAAAAGCUCACCAAGGCAUCGAUGGGUAGCUGGUCUGAGAGGAUGAUCAGCCACACUGGAACUGAGACACGGUCCAGACUCCUACGGGAGGCAGCAGUCGGGAAUCUUGCACAAUGGGCGAAAGCCUGAUGCAGCAACGCCGCGUGAGGGAUGAAGGCCCUCGGGUCGUAAACCUCUGUCGGAAGGGAAGAAAGUAUUUCGGGCCAAUACCCCGGAGUAUCGACGGUACCUUCAAAGGAAGCGCCGGCUAACUCCGUGCCAGCAGCCGCGGUAAUACGGAGGGCGCGAGCGUUAUUCGGAAUCAUUGGGCGUAAAGCGCGUGUAGGCGGCUGGGCAAGUCGGAUGUGAAAGCCCGGGGCUCAACCCCGGAAUUGCAUUCGAAACUGCCCAGCUAGAGUCUCGGAGAGGAGGGCGGAAUUCCCGGGGUAGAGGGGAAAUUCGUAGAUAUCGGGAGGAACACCAGUGGCGAAGGCGGCCCUCUGGACGAUGACUGACGCUGAGACGCGAAAGCGUG
rnacentral:rRNA from 1 species